UGCGCAUUCCAUUCCUAGCAGAAAGAAGAUUUCUUAAACGUGAAUGUCUUUUUACUGUAACAUUCCACACAGAAAAUUAAUGGAUGCCAAAAAUUGAAUAAUUCCACAAACCUUACACGCAUAGCCUUGUUACUUUCUAGCUUGUCUGUCAGUUAAACAUGAAUCAUGAAGCCCUUUCUCCAUAUGCUUUUAGAGUACUCUAGCAGCAAAAGUGCCCGUUGUAAAAUAAGCGAAUUUGGGCCAGGACUUUGCGUAACAAAGAAGAUUGCCGGCCCAAACCUUGCCAAGGUUCCGAUUCUCCUCUUCAGAACUCACUGGGUGGAUGUUGAGUUUCCACCUGCAACCCAGUAUUGCUUCACAACAACCAAUAUCUUCUCAGGAACAAGGGGACCAUCCUCAUGGUCCACCAUUUUGGUGUCCCACCUCAUCCCUGCGACUAUCUUCUUCACCUUGAUUAGCGCAUCGACCUCAUCACGGAAUAUGACUGCACCUUCAGGUCGCAAAAUCCUGUCCAUCUCCAGGAGAAUGUCCUCCACAUUGCAUCUGGCAUUUGU